CAAAAAAGAAAGAAGAAAGGAACAAACAGAUGGAAAUAAGAAAACUGUACCCCAGAGUGAGAAAGUGAGCUAUGCAAGACUGCACUGCAAAAAUAUACCAAUGAAGCUCUCCAUUAAUUAGGCCCAGCUGUCACAUUGUGGAUGAUACCAUGGUGAUACAGAAAGAGUGAAGAAAUUGACAAAAGAUCAUCUUCGAAUCCUGGACCUGCUGUUCACAAAUUUUUAAGACCUUGAGCAAAUUACCUGAUAUUUUGGGACUUGUUUUCUGAUCUGUGAAAUUAAUGGAGUGAACUAAACGGCUUCCUCUUAUCUCCAAGUCUGUCUUAAAAUACUAACAUUCCAUCAUUUUUAUUCAUAUCACUAUUACUUUCAAAUCUCCAAUGAUGGUCAAGGACAGUUUCAUAAGUAGGUAGUAAUCUUUCACUUCCCCCCAAAAUACUAGCAUUUUGAUCCAAUGCUAGUGACGAAUGAAGAAAUCUUGAGACAUUAUGUUUUCUCUUGAAGGUUGAUGGCAUAUUAUUCUGAGAUGCUACUUUAUUUUAAUCUUCACUGAGACAUAUCAUCAAAUAAGUAUCAUUAAAAGAGUGAGGAUGAAGGAUUUAUUUUACAGGUAAGGACGAGACUACCUGGUCUCUAAAAUUCUUUUUAUCUCUUAGAUUCCAUGGGUCUAAGAAUUCAUUUAUUUCAUCAUAGUAGGAAUGUUUAUCUCCGUAGAUAAGGACAGGUAGUGAAACUACUUGGUAUUUUGCAACUUAAACUCGUUUUCUCAAAUAAAACCAUCCAAUUUGAUUUUAAAGAUUGACUUUCUGAAUUAAUGCCCACUACAUCUUCUUUUCCUCAAUUUUGCUUCUUGGGCUAGGAGGUAUUUGACAGACUUUGGGCUUUUAAAAACUGGCAGGUUUAUAGAACUUGUGAAAACAGAUAGAGGGAAAUGGAUUUCCAACAUGAGACAGAUGGGGUGAUUUGACUCUAAUGGGCCACAUGUUCCUGGUUAUCCUAAGUUGAGUGUGUGCUACCUCCCUGUAUCCAUUUGGUUUUGAUGAAGAAGAAAGCUCUGAUGAGACACUGAGGAGGAGUUCAGAAAGGAGUUCUAGGUUGAUUUCCUUUUUCUACCUCUUAAGGUAGUGCUGGAUCUGUCUGGAUCAGAAAUUUAUUCAAGUAUGACAGACCAUAUUUACCCACGUAAAUUAGAUGAAAAAUUGACAAAACCGAUAAAAGCCCUAUGGAAUUGAAACAAUUCUCUUAAAGAUUAAUGAACCUUAGAUAAGUGAAAAUUUGUAUUUGUUUUCAAAAUAUACAGUUAUUUUAGGCCAAUCACUCCCCCUUCCCCCAAUAUACAAAUAUGUGUAGUCCCAGUAAAUGCUUCAGCCUAUUUACUAGACCGUGAGCACACUGAAGACAAAAAAAUCUUAUUAAUAUUUGUGUUUCCAAUGUCUACAUGAGUUUAUGGAAUAUACUAACUGUAUAAUAAAUUUUUAUUGAUAUACAUGGGGUUAUAACACAUAUUGGCUCACUUGUAGUAUAUUUCUAUGUCAAUUCAUCAUUGUGUCACUGAGGUUGUUGAAUGCUAUGACAAAGAGUUAUAAUUUCCAGAAUAUCCUACCAAUAUAAUUAUUUACUUUUUGAAAUAAUAUCUUUUGGCCUCAAUGCUCUCAUUAAUGCCUAUUAGUGAACAAACGAUGAUUAAUUUUAAAUGGUUAUUUUUGAAUUUUGACAGUUACACGGUAACCCCAAAAUUUUGCUGUUUUCUUAGCAGUUCUCUUGUAUUUCACACACACACACACACACACACACACACAAUUAUAUGAGAUUAUAAGGUUCUUGAAGGUAAGAACUUCCAGUUUUACCCACCAUAUCCCUCAUAAUGUCAAGCCAUAGUAAGCAAUAAAUAGUAAUAGUAAGCACUAAUAAAGCAGUGAAUUGGUUGUGAUUCAAAGGUGAUCCUGUUAGUUUUUUAUUUGAUGUAAAAAAAGAAAAAGCUAAAAGGAAAAAUCCAAUAAAUAUAUUUGGGUCAACUGACCUUCAGUUUGUUCCCUGGCAUUUAACCUCAGGGGGAAAAAAGAGUGCUGUAUCCUCAUAAACAAUCCAAUUAGAAAGAAAAAGGGAAGAAAAUAAAGAGGGGGUUGUAGUGGUAAUAAUCACCUCACUGAGUCUUCAAAGUCACAAAUUACAGGAGAAAAGCUCUAAUCUCUCUUUAGGAUGAUUAUAGGAUUAGAACUAU